UACGUAGGGGGCUAGCGUUGUCCGGAUUUAUUGGGCGUAAAGAGCGCGUAGGCGGCCGAGUAAGUCCGACGUGAAAUCUGGAGGCUCAACCUCCAGCGGUCGUUGGAAACUACUCGGCUAGAGACCGGAAGAGGAGAGUGGAAUUCCCGGUGUAGUGGUGAAAUGCGUAGAGAUCGGGAGGAACACCAGAGGCGAAAGCGGCAUCCUGGGCCGGGCCUGACGCUGAGGCGUGAAAGCGUGGGGAGCGAACCGG
rnacentral:rRNA from 1 species